GACAAACGCUGGCGGCGUGCCUAAUACAUGCAAGUCGAACGGUCUUUUCUAUGGAAGCUUGCUUCCACUGAGAAGAUAGUGGCGAACGGGUGAGUAACACGUGGGUAACCUGCCCAUAAGAGGGGGAUAACAUCCGGAAACGGGUGCUAAUACCGCAUAGGUUUCUUGGUCGCAUGAUCGGGAAAGGAAAGACGGCCUUUGUGCUGUCGCUUAUGGAUGGACCCGCGGCGUAUUAGUUAGUUGGUGAGGUAACGGCUCACCAAGACGAUGAUACGUAGCCGACCUGAGAGGGUGAUCGGCCACAUUGGGACUGAGACACGGCCCAAACUCCUACGGGAGGCAGCAGUAGGGAAUCUUCCGCAAUGGACGAAAGUCUGACGGAGCAACGCCGCGUGAGUGAAGAAGGUUUUCGGAUCGUAAAACUCUGUUGUCAGAGAAGAACAAGUCGGAGAGUAACUGCUCCGGCCUUGACGGUAUCUGACCAGAAAGCCACGGCUAACUACGUGCCAGCCGCCGCCGUAACAC
rnacentral:rRNA from 1 species